rnacentral:rRNA from 1 species
GCAUGUCGUAGUCCUGCUUGGAGUCUGCAACUCGCCUCCAUGACGUCGGAAUCGCUAGUAAUCGUAGAUCAGAAUGCUACGGUGAAUACGUUCCCGGGCCUUGUACACACCGCCCGUCACACCAUGGGAGCGGGUUGCAAACGAAGUAGGUAGCUUAACCUUCGGGAGGGCGCUUACCACUUUGUGAUUCAUGACUGGGGUGAAGUCGGAACAAGGUAACCGUAGGGGCUGUCUCUUCUACCCA